GAUUAGCAAUAAGUAAGGUGUUUACAUGUGAUACAGAGGGCACUCUCCAAGAAAUGCAAAUUAAUGUUACACAUGUAACAUCUUUUUAUCAGAUACAAACCAUCUUUACUAUUCUGCUCUCCAGUCCACUCACUGAACAUUAUGUAGCUGUAGAUCAAACUCAUUAAAGUUUGCAUUGUUUUUGAAAAUGUGUUUGUCUUAAGAAAGUUGAAGCAUGGAAAGCUACUUCCUGUUUAUCGAUGUCAAUGUUUUAUACAUUUGUUUUUGAGGCCUGUUUACUUGCAAAUUCCAUCUAUUAAAUAAAUAAUGAACAAUAUUCCCACUGCUUCAUAUGGUCUCAAUAGAUUGUCAUUGUGGCUGCUUCACAGCACGGCGGGCUCUUAAAGUUGGGGUUCCCGCCUCAUAGCGCCACAUAGAGCACUCUGAUUGGGUCUGGGCUUUUGUCUUCUGGGAGGAGGGCCAUUGAGACCUAAUCCUCCUCUCCGGCCCGACUCACUCCCACUGUCAUCAGUUUAAGUCGGAGCGUUCAGAGCCUCGUGGUCUGGACUGCUGUGAAGAGAAAAAAACACUGAGGGGUCUGUCCCCAAUGAUGACUC